GGCUGAUUGGCUCAGUGGUUAGAGUGCAGUGCUUGUAACACCAAGAUUGCGGGUUCAAUUCCCACAUGGGCCA